UGGUGGAGUGAUUUGUCUGGUUAAUUCCGAUAACGAACGAGACCUUAACCUGCUAACUAGUCACAUUAACUUUGGUUGGUGGCGACUUCUUAGAGGGACUGACUGUGUUUAACAGUCGGAAGUUUGAGGCAAUAACA
rnacentral:rRNA from 1 species